UGUGCACAAAGUGUCAAGUCUGACAGAGCCAGGUUCUUUUCCUCUGCCUGGUUUUGGACUUAAGCAGUCUUUAGAUGCAGAAUGUAGAGGGGUGGCAUAAAAACUUUUAGGAAAGUUAUACUUAUUUUUAAAUAUUCUUAAUACAAUUUUAAAAGAGUUUUUAUUGUUGUGGAGGGGUUUUGAGACCCUACACAGCAUCCCUGUAACCCUGGCUGGCCUAGAAAUCACUUUAUAGACCGGGGUGGCCUCAAAUUCACAGAUAUCUUCCUACCUCUGCUUCCUGAGUUCUGUGAUUACAAGCGUCCACCACUGGGCCCAGAAAAAGAUUAUAUUGCUUUUUAAAAUGUUUUUUUAAAUGUUAUGUAUGCGAGAGUUUGACUGCACACCAGUAAGUGCACCAUGGAGUAUUCGGUGUUUGCAGAGACCAACAGAACAUGCCGGAUCCUCUGGAAUUGGAGUUACAGGGUCCCUGAGCCUCUCCUCCCACUUUCCUACAGCACCCAGCAAGUUUGAAAGACAACUAAGAAGGAUCUCAGUAAAAAGGGGCUGCUGUAAUGUGGGACCACUCACUGUUUGAUGCCACUCUGGAGGCUGAACCCCAUGUCCUAAUUAAUAUAGAGGCACAGCUUGGUGGAGACAGGCAUGAUGCCUGGGAUCCAAGGGCCAGGUCUCCAGCCAGCUGGCGUGCCACAGAGACAGGGUGCCUACUCACCCAAGUCAGGGGUUCGCAGGGGGCAGGAGGGGUUUCGAGAAGAAACAGAGCAGUUUGAAGAGCUGCAUCAAAGUGUGUGAUGUGGAAAGAGGAACAGAGACAUUACAUUUAAGAAAGAAAGACCCCAGCGGAUGGAUUAACAGAUCCAGGUGAAGACACAUCUGAGAAUUGGAAAAGACAACCUUACAAGGCAUUUCUCAGCGCUACAUUCCGGGGAAGGCAACUGAGAAGUGAAGCAUGCAAGAACUAAAUUGUAAAAUUUAUACCCAGUGAGACGUUCAGAAGUGGGAGGGAAUGAGUAGUGAGCACACUGAGAAAGGAUGGGUUUUUAACUCAGUUUUGAGGUAAAAUGUGUGUGUGUGUAUUUGUGUGUGCCAGAAGCCAACCUUUGUGUCAUCCUCUGACAUUCUCUCUGUCUUGGUUUUUGAAAUAGGGUCUCUCAGUUUUACCUGGAGGUCUCCAAUUUAGUCAGAAAGGCUGGCCAGUGAGGCCCAGGAACCUCACCUCAUCUUAGCCUCUCUGGGACUGGGAUUGCACAAAUAUGUGUGUACCAGCAUGCCCAGCUUUUUACAUAGGUUCUGGAGACAAAACUCAGGUCCUCAGUCUUGGGAGAAAAGCGUUCAGCCUGAGCCAUCUCCACAGCCCCUGGUGCAGAGAGAAGAACAUUGUAAUUGAUUUGGGCUUGCUUUUUUUUUUAGCAUUUUAUCUAUCAAUUAUAAAUUAAAAUUUGUC